ensembl:lncRNA
AAGCGUUACUGCUACCUUCCUAUUAAAGAAUUUUGUGUUGAUUAAAUAAAAUAAGAUACAUAAAGUGCUUAGGAAAUGCUUACUACAUAGUACGUGCUAAGUAAAUGGUUCCUAUUAUUAUCUCAUUUGUUCCAUACAAAAAGCCUGCAAAGGAAGUUGAAUAAUAUUAUCUGCAUUGGUGAAGUGGAAAAUUGAAGCCCAAAGUGGUUAAGAAAUUUAUCUAAGAUCACACUAGUAAUAAGUUGUAUGACUAUUGUUCAAACAUGGCUUCAGUGUCUUUCUUCACUCACUCAUCUAUCCAUCUGUCCAUUCAUUAUUUUUCCUUCAUUCCAUGUGAAAUGAGUCUUUGUGAUGUGCCAGCCACGCCCUUAGGGAGACAGAUUAAUCUUGACAAAGAUGUUUCCUAAAAUGUGUCAGAGUAGGGUUUACUCCAAGUCACCUGACAAAGGCACUGAUUUGGGGGAAGCUGAAGUCUGGAGGCGGGAAUGGGAAAAAUUGUCAAUGACUAUCAGGCUUUUGAGAAAUUACCAAGCCAGAGACUCUCAAACAUCCCAGACUGCAAAUCAGGAAGUCUUGCUCUUCUUAGGGAAACACCAUGCAUUACUGACUUGUUGACUUAAUGAAGGGGACAUUAUCAAAUUCAUUUUACACACGGAGAGUUUAGAAGUUAAACUUUCAGGCUCAUGAGUUGAACUCUUUGCGUUUAAACCUAUCCCAUCUUUCAGUGGUUGCAUGAUUUACAAUACGUUGUUUAACUUCUCUGAGUUGCUGUUUACACCUCUAUUACAUGUGGCUAAGGGUUGGACCUCCUACCGAGGGUUGAAUAAGAUAAUGCAGAACUUCUCAGUCUUGUGUUUUUCUGAAUUAACCUCCUGCAGACAAGCUAAAAUACACCAGCUUGGGAAAUGACCCUGCUUUUAGGAUUAUCUGGAGGAAGGUUUUUAAUCUUCUCCCUGUGAUUGUACAGGAGGAAGAGGAAUAAGCAAUGAUGUAUCAGAGUUGCAAUGCUAUCCUGCCCAGUCACAGGGAAGAAUGACUGCAUUGGCUGUUAGACUCUAGACGAUGAGUGUUAUGCCUUAGCAGAAAGUUUGUCUGCAUUUUGCACGUGUCCAGAGACUUUGCCUGAGACUGAGAUUAAGGGCAGUGGACUAAUUAAUCUGGCAGAAGAAAUUUCAAGGCAGUCUAAUGUUGAGGCAGAGGCAUGGCUCCCAUUGGGUGCUUUUAGCUAGAUUUAUGUUGAGAAUCAAGAGCAAAGAGUCUUCAGGAAUGAUUUAUUUAAAACAUUUUGAGUUUGGCUAGAAAGGAAGUCCCAGUAAAGUUGUGGCUGGCAAAGAUGGAACAGAGGAAAAAUUGGUCACUAAAAAGACUAGCAAGAGGACCAGGGAUUUAGCUCAGUGGUGCCACUGCCUGCCUCGCAAGUGCAAGGCCCCAAGUUUGAUCCCUAUACCAAAAAAAAAAAAAAAAAAAAAAAAAAAAACAGCAAGAAAUAAAGUCAAGUAUUUCAGAAGAAGACAGAAAAGAUCGGCUGAGGACAUCACGAGAACCAACAGCCUCUGCAGCCUCAGAGUUGCAAAGGUGAAAGACUUUGUUUUGAGAAGAGAGCCCCAGAGCACCACAUUCCAGAAUGGUGGUGGCCAAGGGAAGUUGUUCCUUGGGAUUUGGUUCACAGGUGCUGGACCACUACAGCCAAGAGAGAAGGAAGCCUAGCUACUGCUCCAGCUGGCGGCAGACCUUGGUAUCAUCCAUAUGAUGCUGGUUUUAGGUACAUGCAGAAUGCAAGAGUUGUGGGGUCAGGAAGGCUUCCACCCAGAUUUUGGAAGGCCUGAGAGGCCAGGCAGUGUGUCCCUGAGAGAGCAGUGUGUAGGUGUGAAUGUGAAGCCAAAGGUGCAGUGGAGACCCCAGAAGUUUGGAGAAGCCAGGAGCAUGGAUUGUCUGAAAAAAAGAAAACUGCAAGGAGGGAGCACAGCUGGCCCCAGAGAGAAACCGUGGGAGCUACAACCACUGGCUAUAACUGUGGAGCCACCCAAGCCCUUUGGAGUUCACAUCUUGCCACAGAUUGCUGGGGAUGCUGGAAGUGAACUGUGAGAUUUAAUAUUUGCCCUGCUGGAUUUUGGGUGUUCGCAUUCCUUGCUAUCCCCUUCUUUGCAACUUUUAGAAUGGAAGCUCUUGUCUUGUUCCAUUGAAUGUUGGAAGUGAUUAACUUUCUUUUCAUUUGUACAGGGGCUUGCUGAUAAUAGUUUGCUUUAAAUCUCAGAGGAAACUUUGGACUUAAACUUUUCAACAAUGGUGAAACAGUUAGGACUUUGGCAACUCUUGGAGAUGAACUAAAUGCCUUUUGAAAAAAGGGAUAUGCUUGAGUCUUUAGGGGGCCAGGGGUGGAAUGUUAUGUUUCACAGGUAGCUGGAUCUAGAGUGUGUGAUGCAGGAAUUGGUUCAGAGUACAACGCUAGGAUCAAGGGCACUAUAAUUAAGGGUGUGAGUACUACCUGCCCUAAGAUAGCCUGGAUAAUAAAGAAGGGGUAGAAAGACCUGUGGUUGUCCCUUACUUGCUUUGCUACCUUCUGCCCACUGUAAUCUGUUUUUCCUCUGUGAUGGCUGUCUGCCAUGUCACUGUCUUUGAGCCAGCCAAUUAUGGACUGAACCUUCUACAAACUGUGAGCUACGUAAACCUUUCCUCUCUGAUUUAUGGGUUUUGGGUAUUUUGUUUCAGCAACAAGAAAAGUAACUAAGACAUAUGAUAUAUAAUUGUACUAACACUAAAAAUAUAAUUAGCCAUUCUAGUGGUUAUAUGUUAUGUAGUUGUAUUAGCUAUUUCUAGAUCUUAUCAUGUGAGGAAUCUGUUUCUAUUAAAAUGUUUG